rnacentral:rRNA from 1 species
GACGAACGCUGGCGGCGUGCCUAAUACAUGCAAGUCGAACGCAGUGGGGAUGGGUGAGUAACACGUGGGUCACCUCCCAUCAGAGGGGAUAACACUUGGAAACAGGUGCUAAACCGAUACUGAUGGAUGGACCCGGGGUGCAUUUGGUAGUGGGUGAGGUAACGGCUCACCAAGUCCACGAUGCAUAGCCGACCUGGGAGGAUGACCGGCCACACGGGGACUGAGACACGGCCCAGACUCCUACGGAAGGAAGCAGUGGGGAAUAUUCGACAAUGGGCGAAAGGCUGACCGAGCAACGCCGCGUGAGGGAAGAAGGUUUUCGGGUCGUAAAGCACUUUUGUUAGAGAGGCGGUAUCUAACCAGAAAGCCACGGCUAACUACGUGCCAGCAGCCGCGGUAAUAC